rnacentral:rRNA from 1 species
GGAUAAGCGGCGGAAACGCCGUCUAAUACCGCGUGACAACCCGAGGGGGCAUCCCCUUGGGUUCAAAGGAGAGAUCCGGUACCGGCUGGGCAUGCGGCGCAUUAGCUAGUUGGCGGGGCAACGGCCCACCAAGGCGACGAUGCGUAGGGGUUCUGAGAGGAAGGUCCCCCACACUGGAACUGAGACACGGUCCAGACUCCUACGGGAGGCAGCAGUGAGGAAUAUUGGUCAAUGGGCGCAAGCCUGAACCAGCCAAGUCGCGUGAGGGGAGACGGCCCUACGGGUUGUAAACCUCUUUUGCCGGGGAGCAAGCCUGAGCACGUGUGCCCAGGCGGAGAGUACCCGGAGAAAAAGCAUCGGCUAACUCCGUGCCAGCAGCCGCGGUAAUACGGAGGAUGCGAGCGUUAUCCGGAUUUAUUGGGUUUAAAGGGUGCGCAGGCGGGCUGUUAAGCCGGCGGUAAAAAUUCAGGGCUCAACCCUGUCGAGCCGUCGGAACUGGCAGUCUUGAGUGGGCGAGAAGUAUGCGGAAUGCGUGGUGUAGCGGUGAAAUGCAUAGAUAUCACGCAGAACGCCGAUUGCGAAGGCAGCAUACCGGCGCCCAACUGACGCUGAGGCACGAAAGCGUGGGGAUCGAACAGGAUUAGAUACCCUGGUAGUCCACGCAGUAAAUGAUGAGCGCUAACUGUCCGGAGCGAGCGAGCUCUGGGU